GCGUGCCUAAUACAUGCAAGUCGAGCGAACAGACGAGGAGCUUGCUUCUCUGACGUUAGCGGCGGACGGGUGAGUAACACGUGGAUAACCUACCUAUAAGACUGGGAUAACUUCGGGAAACCGGAGCUAAUACCGGAUAAUAUAUUGAACCGCAUGGUUCAAUAGUGAAAGACGGUUUUGCUGUCACUUAUAGAUGGAUCCGCGCCGCAUUAGCUAGUUGGUAAGGUAACGGCUUACCAAGGCAACGAUGCGUAGCCGACCUGAGAGGGUGAUCGGCCACACUGGAACUGAGACACGGUCCAGACUCCUACGGGAGGCAGCAGUAGGGAAUCUUCCGCAGUGGGCGAAAGCCUGACGGAGCAACGCCGCGUGAGUGAUGAAGGUCUUCGGAUCGUAAAACUCUGUUAUUAGGGAAGAACAAAUGUGUAAGUAACUAUGCACGUCUUGACGGUACCUAAUCAGAAAGCCACGGCUAACUUACGUGCCAGCAGCCGCGGUAAUACGUAGGUGGCAAGCGUUAUCCGGAAUUAUUGGGCGUAAAGCGCGCGUAGGCGGUUUUUUAAGUCUGAUGUGAAAGCCCACGGCUCAACCGUGGAGGGUCAUUGGAAACUGGAAAACUUGAGUGCAGAAGAGGAAAGUGGAAUUCCAUGUGUAGCGGUGAAAUGCGCAGAGAUAUGGAGGAACACCAGUGGCGAAGGCGACUUUCGUGGUCUGUAACUGACGCUGAUGUGCGA
rnacentral:rRNA from 1 species